UGUGAUCAUCACUGUUGCAUUGCCAGCAAGGCAAGGACACAGAUAUCAAACUUCGGAAAAGUCAAAAACCUCUCAGAGUCAGAGCUGACUGCCGGAUUUAUUCUGAGUCAUUCACGGCGACAGAUACUCACGAGUAGGAGAUUAGUCAGGCGGCAGAUCGGGUGUAUUUCACAGCAGAAUAUGUGAGAACUACAGGCGCGUAUAAUGUGAAGCAGAAGUACACACAUGUAUUUGGUAGCACAUUUAUUUUGACACAAAAUCCACAGUUUUCUGUUCAAUAGAGUUAAGCAGACGUCUGCGUCCAAUAUCGCAGAAUCUCAGUGAUGAUCAGUGAGAUGGAAGAAAUCUAAAUACAACCCCACCUUCUAAAAAACAAAAAACAAAACAAAAAAAACCCCCCAAACAAACAAAGCAAAAAAACAUGAUGGUGUGCAACCAAACAGACACAACAAACGUGAGAACAUCUCACUCAGUAUGCAUCGGAAACCUCUGAAUCUGCUUUACACCAAGAUACAAAAUCAACUUGAUAUCCAUGAUGACACGAAAAAGUUUUGGCUUUUUUUUUUUUAAAUCGACAGUUAUUAUGUUAACAUUAUACUCAACAUUAUCCUCACAAUAAGCGACAGUGAUUUUUAACAAGAAAACGGCACGGUUACUCUCUCACACAUACGUACGACACGCUGAAGAGCCGCAGGUAGAAUUGCACAAAGAUACCUUCAAAGUACACCACAUGUUGUAGUAAUAUUAAUCGGAACUAUUCCAUGUACAGUCACAUAUACAUACUGCUAUAUAUGCUGCUGUCUCGUAGCUGCAGGAGUAGAAGGAGACAGUCUUGAGUUAUCCUGAAUCAAAAGGAUUGGAUGUUUUGUUUUUUGUUUUCUGGCAAAAUGGUUCAACGGCUGUACCAAUGUGAGGUUUGGUUUUUUUUUUUGUAUUUUUAUUCAAUUCUUUAACUUUUGGCAUUACAAAAUAAAAUCAGUACAAAUAUAUAGUAGAUACUAUCUUCAGAAGGAGAGAACAGUCCUUUACAGUCAAAACUCGAGCGAGGUAACAGUCUUAUAUCAGGCCUUGGCCAAAGAGUGGUAACAAAGGUAAAAUCUGGGGCAUAUUUCUCCACACAAAUUGGCUUCUGACAAGGCGAGACAAAUCAAACCGCUUCUAUUUACACUGACGUCAAAUGAAAGCAGGAGUCGGGAUACAAUAAACCCCAGUGUGUGACUCCUAUGUUUCACCAUCUUGUUCAGGUUCAGUCAUAGAAAUUAAACAUCCAUCCAUCCAUCCGCUUUCCACCAGCUCAUCUGGGGCUGGAUCAAAAGGGAAUCCCAAACCUCCCUCUCCCCAGCCACCUCCUUCAGCUCAUUCGGGGAAAGCACCGAGGCAUUCCCAGGCAGUGCUGAGGGACGUAGUGUCUCCGGCGUGGCCUGGGCCUACCCCGGGGCCUCUUUCCACGGGGGCAUGCCCAGGAAAUCUCAGCUAGUAUCCGAUAGAUCCACACGCUAACUUUGUGUUUUUGUUAAUAGCUUCUAUGCCGGUAGUGCAGUGGUUGAACCUGUUGCCUCACAGCAAGAAGGUCUUGGGUUCAAAUCCAUGAAGUGUUUCUGGGAGUCUGCGUGUUUUCCCUGUUCUUUCUGGCUUACUCUCAGACUCCAAGCAUUGUAAAUUGCCCAUUCAUAUGAAUAUGAGACUGGCAACGUGUCCAG
ensembl:lncRNA